rnacentral:lncRNA from 1 species
ACAAAAACAAAAACAAAAAGAUCAGACGGCCAGCAGCCAUGUCCACGGAUCUCCAGCUCUGCCAAGAUUUGCCCAAACUCAAUUUACCUUCUUCCAAUUUUCAAUCCCAUCGCACUCCCGCCCUGGAAGAAUCCAACGCCGGUAACAUCUCCGACGACGAAGGAUGCCGCACACCCACCUCCGCCGAGCACAAGAUCCCGGCCGCCCUCGUCUGCCCGCCGGCCCCCAGGAAGCCCAAAUGGCGAGCCCCCGUCUGCAAGCGAAAGCUCUCGUUUUUCUUCGAGGUCGUCCGUGACGAGGAGCUUGAAAGCUUUUUCAGAUCCUGCGACGCCGUUUCGGUUGCUAAGAGAAGGUGUCCGUGUAUAUGAUCUUCUUGGUUUAUGAUGAUGAUGAUGAUGAUGGUGGUGGUGGUGGUGGUGGGGGUGAUGACGAUGAUGAGGGUCAUGACUCGUAAUCCUUCUCUAUUACAUACACAAUUUUUUUCUUCUUUUUGGGUUUAUGGGGGAUUGAUUAAUUCAUAUAUAGAGAGAGCGAAAGAGAGUGAGGAUCAAAAGGGUUCAUGAUCCCAUGUAUGUUUAUCUCAUAUAUAUAUAUAUAUGCAUGUAAUUACACGUUAAUUCCACGUUGUUUUGUAUGAGAAUUAGACAAGUUCGAAUUCUCCAAUCAUCAGUUCAUAUAUGUCUGCAAUUCAGACAAUAAUGUUAUGUGGAUCUGAACCUUUAUUAGUCUAAUUUCUCUCUUGUGAUAUUCGCCUUGAAAUUCAAAAAUUCUCUUUUGAAUUUUGUGUUUACAUAUAUAACUAUAUAUGAUAAUUUAUAUCAUUGUCAUCCCAGCCAA